rnacentral:snRNA from 1 species
GGAGGGUAAUUUGGUAAUAGCAUCAGUUACCUCUCAGAAACCACCAGGGUUGUUUCAGCUGGUCUGAUUAGCUAGGCAGUUUUCACUGUGCUGUCUAAAUGCUCCACGUGCCAUUCUCCUGACACUAUAUACUUGGUCUAGGAAGAUGACCAUCUCCAUUAGAGGAAACUCAUUCUUUAGUCAAAUAUCUGAGAGUAGCAACAUUUCUCUGAUAGAACAGAUUAGGUCUCUCCACCACCAUCUUUUCAAUGAAAACAUUUUCUUCUCAUUUUUGGAUUGGAAUAAAUAUGAGCAAGA